GGGUAGGGGUCCUGAGAGGGAGAUCCCCCACACUGGUACUGAGACACGGACCAGACUCCUACGGGAGGCAGCAGUGAGGAAUAUUGGACAAUGGGCGCAAGCCUGAUCCAGCCAUGCCGCGUGCAGGAUGACGGUCCUAUGGAUUGUAAACUGCUUUUGUACAGGAAGAAACAGUUCUACGUGUAGAACCUUGACGGUACUGUAAGAAUAAGGAUCGGCUAACUCCGUGCCAGCAGCCGCGGUAAUACGGAGGAUCCAAGCGUUAUCCGGAAUCAUUGGGUUUAAAGGGUCCGUAGGCGGUUUAAUAAGUCAGUGGUGAAAGCCCAUCGCUCAACGGUGGAACGGCCAUUGAUACUGUUAAACUUGAAUUAUUAGGAAGUAACUAGAAUAUGUAGUGUAGCGGUGAAAUGCUUAGAGAUUACAUGGAAUACCAAUUGCGAAGGCAGGUUACUACAAUUGAUUGACGCUGAUGGACGAAAGCGUGGGUAGCGAACAGGAUUAGAUACCCUGGUAGUCCACGCC
rnacentral:rRNA from 1 species